rnacentral:rRNA from 1 species
UCUAGCAUAAAUAGUAUUAGAGGCACUGCUGCCCAGUGACACAUGUUCAACGGCCGCGGUACCCUGACCGUGCAAAGGUAGCAUAAUCACUUGUUCUCUAAAUAAGGACUUGUAUGAACGGCCACACGAGGGUUUAACUGUCUCUUACUUUUAAUCAGUGAAAUUGACCUAUCCGUGAAGAGGCGGAUAUAUUUAAAUAAGACGAGAAGACCCUAUGGAGCUUUAAUUUAAUAGUACAAACUAGUAGCUUAAAAACCCACAGGCAUUAAAUUACAGUCCAUGUACUAUAGAUUUCGGUUGGGGUGACCUCGGAGCAUAAUACAACCCCCGAGAAUAUAUACCAAGACCUUACUAGUCUAAGUGAACCUAAACUCAUUGACCCAAUAAAUUGAUCAACGGACCAAGUUACCCUAGGGAUAACAGCGCAAUCCUAUUACAGAGUCCAUAUCGACAAUAGGGUUUACGACCUCGAUGUUGGAUCAAGACAUCCUAGUGGUGCAGCCGCUACUAAAGGUUCGUUUGUUC